rnacentral:other from 1 species
UUCUCCAUAGAAUGCACGCAUACUUAACGAUUGGUAAUUCCUUACUGGUUAAAGAGUUUCGGACUUAAGUAUGAUGUUGUGUUUGCAUAUUGUUCGGGAAACCGAACCGAGUAACAAAUUUUAAGUUACUCAUUUACUUCCUGUAUGUAUAUUUAAACCGUUUUUUAGGUUAUGUACCGCUCUUUAUGAGCGGUAUUUUUUUAU